AAAUACAAUAUCUGUUUGAGUUUGCUCUAGGAUGCAAUAGGGAUGCUAGAAUGCUCUCAUAUGAACUAAAAUGGAGUAGGGACGGGUACUGGUACUGCGUUUUCUUUCGCCUUCUGUACUGAGUGGUGUAGCGUGAUGACAUCAUUGGAAAAGUUUGCAUCGGAAAUGGGAGCGUAACUGGGAACGAAGUUGAGCGGAAGCGUAGUUCUUCGGCUGGAGGCACCAGCGAAGCGCUCACAGCCAUGUGGUAAUCUUAGGUUUUAUUACAUACAGUCGGGAGGAACUAUUGGAUAUAAGAGCAACGUCAACUCACCAACAUUACGACCAGGAAUACGACUUUCCCGAAGCGGAUCCUCUGUUUGCUCCACCGCCCAGGACAAUGGAUCGGAUCCCAGCCGGCGACCCAAAACAACGAUGCCGUAGAAGGGGCAGACGGAGCGGUCUUCUGGUCAGGCUCCGUAGACGGGCGCACCGUUCCCGAGCAUACUACUCGCCAAUUUCCAGUCUCUUGACAACAAGGUAGACAAAAUCCGUGCAAUCUGUUCAAUCAAUCCUUAUCCCAGUCUGCUGUUCCCACAUGCUUCAAUAGGGCCACCAUUGUUCCUGUUCCCAAGAAAGCUAAGGUAACUGAGCUAAAUGACUACCGCCCCGUAGCACUCACUUCCGUCAUCAUGAAGUGCUUUGACAGACUAGUCAAGGACCAUAUUACCUCCACCGUACCUGACACCCUAGACCCACUCCAAUUUGCUUACCGCCCCAAUAGGUCCACAGACGACGCAAUCGCAAUCACACUGCACACUGCCCUAACCCAUCUGGACAAGAGGAAUACCUAUGUGAGAAUGGUGUUCAUCGACUACAGCUCAGCAUUUAACACCAUAGUACCCUCCAAACUCGAGACCCUGGGUCUCGACCCCGCCCUGUGCAACUGGGUCGUGGACUUCCUGACAGGCAGCCCCCAGGUGGUGAGGGUAGGUAACAACAUCUCCACCCCGCUGAUCCUCAACACUGGGGCCCCACAAGGGUGCGUUCUCAGCCCUCUCCUGUACUCCCUGUUCACUCACGACUGCGUGGCCAUGCACGCCUCCAACUCAAUCAUCAAGUUUGCAGACGACACUACAGUGGUAGGCUUGAUUACCAACAACGACGAGACGGCCUACAGGGAGGAGGUGACGGCCCUUGGAGUGUGGUGUCAGGAAAAAGCCUCACACUCAACAUCAACAAAACAAAGGAGAUGAUCGUGGACUUCAGGAAACAGCAGAGAGAGCACCCCCUAUCCACAUCAAUGGGAAGUUUUAAGUUCCUCGGCGUACACAUCACGGACAAACUGAAAUGGUCCAACCACACAGACAGCGUGUUAAAGAAGGUGCAGCAGCGCCUCUUCAACCUCAGGAGGCUGAAGAAAUUCGGCUUGUCACCAAAAACACUCAAACUUUUACAGAUACACAAUCGAGAGCAUCCUGUCGGGCUGUAUCACCGCCUGAUACGGUAACUGCUCCGCCCAUAACCGUAAGGCUCUCCAGAGGGUAGUGAAUUCUGCACAACGCAUCACCGGGGGCAAACUACCUGCCCUCCAGGACACCUACACCACCCGAUGUCACAGGAAGGCCAAAAAGAUCAUCAAGGACAACAACCACCCGAGCCACUGCCUGUUCACCCCGCUAUCAUCCAGAAGGCGAGGUCAGUACAGGUGCAUCAAAGCUGGGACCGAGAGACUGAAAAACAGCUUCUAUCUCAAGGCCAUCAGACUGUUAAACAGCCAUUACUAACAUUAAGUGGCUGCUGCCAACAUACUGACUCAACUCCAGCCACUUUAGUAAUGGAAAAAUGUAUGUAAUAAAUGUAUCACUAGCCACUUUAAACAAUGGCACUUUUAUAUCAUAUCUUACAUUACUCAUCUCAUAUGUAUAUACUGUACUCUAUACCAUCCACUGCAUCUUGCCUAUGCCGUUCUAUACCAUCACUCAUUCAUAUGUAUUUUUAUGUACAUAUUCUUAUUCAUUCCUUUACACUUGUGUGUAUAAGGUAAUUGUUGUGAAAUUGUUAGGUUAGAUUACUCGUUGGAUAUUACUGCAUUGUCGGAACUAGAAGCACAAGAAUUUCGCUACACUCGCAUUAACAUCUGCUAACCAUGUGUAUGUGACAAAUACAAUUUGAUUUGAGUCCGUCAGAUCAGAGGAAAUAGUGAUGACCAGGCAUGUUCUCUUGAAUUUGACAUUUUUCCUGUCCUGCUAAGCAUUCAAAAUGUAAUGUAAGUACUUUUGGGUGUCAGGGAAAAUGUACGGAGUAAAAAGUACAUAAUUGUCUUUAGGAAUGUAGUGAAGUAAAAGUAAAAGUUGUCCAAAAGUACACCUAGGGGUGUUCUUGGGGAUCUAAGAAUUUCAAGAAUGAAACUGGGAGGAGUUGGUGGACAAGGUUGCGGCUUAAGGGGUCUAAAUGGCGGUGGUUGUUGCCACUGGUCAAAACAAAUCAUCAAAUCACAUUUUAUUAGUCACAUUCUUCAUAAACAGGAGGUGUAGACUAACAGUGAAAUGUUUACUUAUGGGCCCUUACCAACAACGCAGAGAGAAAAAUAAUAGAAAAAUAAUAAUACAAGGAAUAAAUACACAGCGAGUAAGUAUAAUUUGUCUAUAUACACAGGGUAACAGUACCGAGUCAUUGUGCAGGGGUAUGAGGUAAUUGAGGUAGAUAUGUACAUAUUGGUAGGGAUAAAGUGAAUAGGCAACAAGAUAGAUAAUAAAAAAUAACAGCAGCGUAUGUGAUGAGUAAAAAGAGUGCAAAAAGCAUCAGCUAUUUGGUUAACUAUUUAACUAGAGGUUAGAGUGUUGGGCCAGGAACCGAAAGGUCGCUGGUUUGAAUACCCGAGCCGACAAGGUGAAAAAUCUGUCCAUGUGUCUUUAAGCAAGGCACUUAACCCUAAUUUGCAUCAGUGGCGCUGUAAUACUAUGGCCGACCCUGUAAAACAACACAUUUCACUGCCAAUAGACAAUAAAACAUAUUAAAGCAACUGCAACAUUUUUUUUUGGGGGGGGUCUGGUCAACACUGGACAUGCCAGCAGUGUUUCACCAGCCUUUGCACAAGGCGGACAAGGGCUGGUGGACAUUGGGUCCAGAGUCACAGCUUUCUGCCUACAAGCUGCACAGAGCCUUUUUUACCAGCAGGGGGUGUGGUGAGACACAGCAUUGGCUGUUCUAAUGAGGUCAGGGGGCCUUGUAUUUGACAGGCACUUGUUUCUUUUGGAUGUGGAGCAGGUCGCUAUGUCAACCCUUAUGCCGUUCUACCGCGCUGUGCUUCGGGCAUGGAAAGAGACUCUUAACUGUUUACAGAGAUGUUUCACGGCCAGGAGCACGGCUAAUGGAGGAGCCACUGUUCUACAACCCACUCAUCCAGACCAGAGUGCUGACCUCUGCGAGAUUGCAAGCCAGACCUGUGAGAGCGGGGUUCACUAACUUGGGUGACCUGAGAGAGGAGGCUUCCUCCAUAAAGUUAUCCAGGCUGCUGCAGCAGGUGGUGGAGGGGGUCCAUGCUGCACUAGCGGGCUCCUUCAGAGAGCUGCUGGGAAACAGGCAGAGACUGGGCCGUUUAACCACUAAUUAAACUGAUCUGCUUCCUUUUACCACCUACCUCCUUUUUUCCCCAGCUGCUGCUGCUGCAGGGGAACACCAGGUGGGUGAGAAGAUUAUUUUAUCGUUCAGGACUGAGGGGAAUUUGUAUAGCCAGCAAAAAGGCUUUGUAUACGGUGGCUAUCAAGUUGGCUCAGAAGGACAAUUUGCAUGGGCUGAGAGAGCAACGGAGUGGCAGGGGGGUUUGGGACCGGGCACUUCUCUGAGAGGAUGUUGGCGCUCCCUGUAUAAGACUCCCAUAGAGAAGUGUAAAGCCGAUCUACAGGGGAGGAUUAUUCAGGAGUCUAUCGCUACGAACAGAUAUGUGACGGACCUUGAUUCAUCAGUGGGAAGGGGGUGUCCAGUCUGUGGGGAGGAGGAGACAGUGCAGCAUCUGUUUUCCUUUUGUUCAAGGCUGACAGGGCUGUUUUUGUCCUGGGGUGGUGGUGUACAGGGCUGACUUGGGACCUAUACAUUGGAGGGCCUAGGUUUAGUGUGGCUAACAGGCUAAGGGACUGCAAUGUAAACUACCUGUUGGGGCAGGCAAAAAUUGGCAGUGUGGAAGACCAGGAAGAAUGAGAUGAAGGGAGCGGGGUGUACGGACCCCAGAGCUAUGCUACUAGGGCUGGUGAACCAUCUGGGAUACUUUGUGGAGUUGUGGGGUGUCAGGGGGAUCUGUGUGCAGUGGACGAGGAGGGGUGGCUGGGUUUUAACUUUUUAGUACUGCUACAAUGUAGUAAAGAGUGUACUAAGGUGAUGUUAAUUAUUGAGCCGAUCAAGGUAUUUUUUUUUAUAAAAAAGUAUAUCUCUAUCCCUCCCUUCCUCCCUCCUUCUCCUGUCCUCCUCUCUCCCACCAUCCUUCACCUCCAUGGAUUGUCUCAGACGGUAAGCCUCAAACUGCAGUGAGGUUAUCACCAAAUGUGUAUUUUGCCUGGCAAGCAUUAUCCUAAAGGUUUCACACCCUUCCAUUUCACAGUGGAGACUUUAAGGAAUUACAAACAUGCAAUUGUCAACCCUAGUGCAGGAAAAAGAGGUGAUGGGACAGGUAGGGUGAAGAAACACUGACAAAACUAAGAUGAUGAGAUGUCGACAGCUAAAGAAGAGAUGAAAGAUUGAUAGACAAAGGAGACAAAGGUUCCUCACACUUACUUACAUAUAUGAUGGCAAGUACUCAAUUUCCAUGUCUGAAUUUCACCUUCAAAAGAGGAAACAAGAAAUACCAUUUAAUACAACUACACCAUUGUUUCAUGCAUGAAUGAAAACCCGUGAGGAAUGAUGGAAUGUGUCAACUCCGAUUUUAUCACAAAAUAAGUCACAAGCUCUCCUAACCACUGAGAUUGUGUGAAAUGUAUUUUGAAUGCGUUUCUAGCCUUUAUAGAAGGUUGUUUUUCAGAAUCAUAACAUGUUUAUUAAGUCUAGAAAUGCCUUAUUGGGUAGAAGGCACUAUAAAUGCAUUAAUGAUGCAUUAUGUACAGGUGGUUCAUAGAAAGUGUAACCAAUGUCCCAUUUCUUUAUUUGUUGAGUGCAUAUGUUUUCUUAUUUCUCCUGUUUUCUUUAUUAUAUACUCUAUUUUUUUAUUAGUUAUCCUAUUUUGAUAUUGAUUACUGCAAGUUAAGCAUUUCACUGUACUUGUGCAUGUGACAAUAAAAUUGAACUUGAACUCAGAA
rnacentral:lncRNA from 1 species